rnacentral:rRNA from 1 species
UGGGGAAUAUUGGACAAUGGGCGCAAGCCUGAUCCAGCCAUGCCGCGUGAGUGAUGAAGGCCCUAGGGUUGUAAAGCUCUAUCACCGGUGAAGAUAAUGACGGUAACCGGAGAAGAAGCCCCGGCUAACUUCGUGCCAGCAGCCGCGGUAAUACGAAGGGGGCUAGCGUUGUUCGGAUUUACUGGGCGUAAAGCGCACGUAGGCGGACUUUUAAGUCAGGGGUGAAAUCCCGGGGCUCAACCCCGGAACUGCCUUUGAUACUGGAAGUCUUGAGUAUGGUAGAGGUGAGUGGAAUUCCGAGUGUAGAGGUGAAAUUCGUAGAUAUUCGGAGGAACACCAGUGGCGAAGGCGGCUCACUGGACCAUUACUGACGCUGAGGUGCGAAAGCGUGGGGAGCAAACAGG